AAAUUGAAGAGUUUGAUCAUGGCUCAGAUUGAACGCUGGCGGCAGGCCUAACACAUGCAAGUCGAACGGUAACAGGAAGCAGCUUGCUGUUUCGCUGACGAGUGGCGGACGGGUGAGUAAUGUCUGGGAAACUGCCUGAUGGAGGGGGAUAACUACUGGAAACGGUAGCUAAUACCGCAUAACGUCGCAAGACCAAAGAGGGGGACCUUCGGGCCUCUUGCCAUCGGAUGUGCCCAGAUGGGAUUAGC
rnacentral:rRNA from 1 species